rnacentral:sRNA from 1 species
AGGAACUCCAAGGGCUCAAUGGACGGGAAGCAGGGUCCUUAAAUACGUCCCCUCUUGGCUCUUGCCGUUCCAGGAGCCCCAGUUACCGGGAGAGGCUGUGUCAAAGAAUGAAUGGAACGCCUACUAUGAGGAGGUGGUGUACGUCCUAGAGGAGAUCGAGUACAUGAUCCAGAAGCUCCCUGAGUGGGCCGCGGAUGAGCCCGUGGAGAAGACGCCCCAGACUCAGCAGGACGAGCUCUACAUCCACUCGGAGCCACUGGGCGUGGUCCUCGUCAUUGGCACCUGGAACUACCCCUUCAACCUCACCAUCCAGCCCAUGGUGGGCGCCAUCGCUGCAGGUGCAUGGCCCUGUGGGAAGGGAAGCUGGGGGAGCACCGUCCCCCAGCGUGGAGCCAAGCCAGGAUGGGCUCAGGCCUGUGUUAAGAGUCCUGGGGUCAGAUAAGGGUUUGCUGGGUCUGUCACAGGAGGCUGUGGGGACCAAGCUGUUUAGCCAGGCCUCUUGGUGCCUGAGGUCCAGUCAGGCUCAGGUGUCCACACCUGGUGAUACAGAGAGGGACUGCCUUCCCCCACCCCUGUUGGGGGGCUGGAGCUUCUGUCACCUAAUAUGCAUCAGGGCUUCCUUCCUAGAAUGGGCCAGCGCUGUUCUACCAACCAGGCCCCCAGAGCCUCUCUCCCCUUUCUGCUUUUCCUCCAACAUCUCAGCAACUCAGAGGGCCAGGUGGUGCAGCUCUGGCCAGCGUGUGCCCGUGUGUGUCCCUCUGUCAUGUGCCCGUGUGUGCUCCUGGGUGUGCCCCGUGACAUGUGCUUGUUUGCUAACAACUCUUCCAUCCACUGUCCCGAGGACACACAAUGGAGGGGAGGCUUCAGGUGUGGUCCUUGGGAGGGCAGAGCCUCUGGUGAAGUACCCUGGGCAUAGGCCUGGCUCGGUGUGCUCUGCAGGGAACGCAGUGGUCCUCAAGCCCUCGGAGCUGAGUGAGAACAUGGCGAGCCUGCUGGCUACCAUCAUCCCCCAGUACCUGGACAAGGAUCUGUACCCAGUAAUCAAUGGGGGUGUCCCUGAGACCACGGAGCUGCUCAAGGAGAGGUUCGACCAUAUCCUGUACACGGGCAGCACGGGGGUGGGGAAGAUCAUCAUGACGGCUGCUGCCAAGCACCUGACCCCUGUCACGCUGGAGCUGGGAGGGAAGAGUCCCUGCUACGUGGACAAGAACUGUGACCUGGACGUGGCCUGCCGACGCAUCGCCUGGGGGAAAUUCAUGAACAGUGGCCAGACCUGCGUGGCCCCUGACUACAUCCUCUGUGACCCCUCGAUCCAGAACCAAAUUGUGGAGAAGCUCAAGAAGUCACUGAAAGAGUUCUACGGGGAAGAUGCCAAGAAAUCCCGGGACUAUGGAAGAAUCAUUAGUGCCCGGCACUUCCAGAGGGUGAUGGGCCUGAUUGAGGGCCAGAAGGUGGCUUAUGGGGGCACCGGGGAUGCGGCCACUCGCUACAUAGCCCCCACCAUCCUCACGGACGUGGACCCCCAGUCCCCGGUGAUGCAGGAGGAGAUCUUCGGGCCUGUGCUGCCCAUCGUGUGCGUGCGCAGCCUGGAGGAGGCCAUCCAGUUCAUCAACCAGCGUGAGAAGCCCCUGGCUCUCUACAUGUUCUCCAGCAACGACAAGGUGAUUAAGAAGAUGAUUGCAGAGACAUCCAGUGGUGGGGUGGCGGCCAACGAUGUCAUCGUCCACAUCACCUUGCACUCUCUGCCCUUCGGGGGCGUGGGGAACAGCGGCAUGGGAUCCUACCAUGGCAAGAAGAGCUUCGAGACUUUCUCUCACCGCCGCUCUUGCCUGGUGAGGCCUCUGAUGAAUGAUGAAGGCCUGAAGGUCAGAUACCCCCCGAGCCCGGCCAAGAUGACCCAGCACUGAGGAGGGGUUGCUCCGCCUGGCCUGGCCAUACUGUGUCCCAUCGGAGUGCGGACCACCCUCACUGGCUCUCCUGGCCCUGGGAGAAACACUCCUGCAGCCCCAGCCCAGCCCCACUCCUCUGCUGACCUGCUGACCUGUGCACACCCCACUCCCACAUGGGCCCAGGCCUCACCAUUCCAAGUCCCCACCCCUUUCUAGACCAAUAAAGAGACGAAUACAAUUUUUCUAACUCAGCAAA